rnacentral:rRNA from 1 species
UUUUGGACAAUGGGCGAAAGCCUGAUCCAGCCAUUCCGCGUGAGUGAAGAAGGCCUUCGGGUUGUAAAGCUCUUUCGCAAGGGACGAAAACUUAGGCGCUAAUAUCGCUUGAGGUUGACGGUACCUUGAUAAGAAGCACCGGCUAACUACGUGCCAGCAGCCGCGGUAAUACGUAGGGUGCGAGCGUUAAUCGGAAUUACUGGGCGUAAAGCGUGCGCAGGCGGUUUUGUAAGUCAGAUGUGAAAUCCCCGAGCUCAACUUGGGCACCCCGCUUUGAAACUAUAAGACUAGAAUAUGUCAGAGGGGGGUAGAAUUCCACGUGUAGCAGUGAAAUGCGUAGAGAUGUGGAGGAAUACCAAUGGCGAAGGCAGCCCCCUGGGAUAAUAUUGACGCUCAUGCACGAAA